GACGAACGCUGGCGGCGCGCCUAACACAUGCAAGUCGAACGAGCGAGAGAGAGCUUGCUUUCUCGAGCGAGUGGCGAACGGGUGAGUAACGCGUGAGGAACCUGCCUCAAAGAGGGGGACAACAGUUGGAAACGACUGCUAAUACCGCAUAAGCCCACGGUGUCGCAUGGCACAGAGGGAAAAGGAGCAAUCCGCUUUGAGAUGGCCUCGCGUCCGAUUAGCUAGUUGGUGAGGUAAUGGCCCACCAAGGCGACGAUCGGUAGCCGGACUGAGAGGUUGAACGGCCACAUUGGGACUGAGACACGGCCCAGACUCCUACGGGAGGCAGCAGUGGGGAAUAUUGCACAAUGGGGGAAACCCUGAUGCAGCGACGCCGCGUGGAGGAAGAAGGUCUUCGGAUUGUAAACUCCUGUUGUUGGGGAAGAUAAUGACGGUACCCAACAAGGA
rnacentral:rRNA from 1 species